rnacentral:pre_miRNA from 1 species
GGAAGUUAAGAAACUGUUUUUUAAUUUUUAACUAAAAAAACUAAGAACCGGUUUUUAAAGUCUUUAUUUAAAAACCGGUUCUUAGCUUUUUUAGUUAAAAAUUAAAAAACAGUUUUUUAACUUUU